rnacentral:rRNA from 1 species
AAAUUGAAGAGUUUGAUCAUGGCUCAGAUUGAACGCUGGCGGCAGGCCUAACACAUGCAAGUCGAACGGUAACAGGAAGAAGCUUGCUUCUUUGCUGACGAGUGGCGGACGGGUGAGUAAUGUCUGGGAAACUGCCUGAUGGAGGGGGAUAACUACUGGAAACGGUAGCUAAUACCGCAUAACGUCGCAAGACCAAAGAGGGGGACCUUCGGGCCUCUUGCCAUCGGAUGUGCCCAGAUGGGAUUAGCUAGUAGGUGGGGUAACGGCUCACCUAGGCGACGAUCCCUAGCUGGUCUGAGAGGAUGACCAGCCACACUGGAACUGAGACACGGUCCAGACUCCUACGGGAGGCAGCAGUGGGGAAUAUUGCACAAUGGGCGCAAGCCUGAUGCAGCCAUGCCGCGUGUAUGAAGAAGGCCUUCGGGUUGUAAAGUACUUUCAGCGGGGAGGAAGGGAGUAAAGUUAAUACCUUUGCUCAUUGACGUUACCCGCAGAAGAAGCACCGGCUAACUCCGUGCCAGCAGCCGCGGUAAUACGGAGGGUGCAAGCGUUAAUCGGAAUUACUGGGCGUAAAGCGCACGCAGGCGGUUUGUUAAGUCAGA